rnacentral:rRNA from 1 species
AUUGAACGCUGGCGGCAGGCAUAACACAUGCAAGUCGAGCGGCCGUUCGGACCUUGCUCCUGUUGCUAGCGGCGGACGGGUGAGUAAUGCCUAGGAAUCUGCCUCGUAGUGGGGGAUAACGCCGCGACACGCGGGGUAAUACCGCAUACGACCUGAGGGCGAACGGGGGGGAUCUUCGGACCUCACGCUAUCCGAGGAGCCUAAGUCGGAUUAGCUAGUGGGUGGGGUAAAGGCCUACCAAGGCGACGAUCUGUAACUGGUCUGAGAGGAUGAGCAGGCCCACUGGAACGGGGACACGGCCCAGACUCCUGCGGGAGGCAGCAGUGGGGAAUUUUGGACAAUGCUCUAAGGCCUGCUCCAGCCCUGCCGCGUGUGGGAAUAAGUUCCCCGGAUUGUAAAGCACUUUAAGCUGGGACGAACCGCACUAUGCUAAUACCUCGCUGUGUUGACGGUACCCACAGAAUAAGCACCGGCUAACCUCGUG